rnacentral:rRNA from 1 species
GCUUAACACAUGCAAGUCGAGCGGUAAGGCCCUUCGGGGUACACGAGCGGCGAACGGGUGAGUAACACGUGGGUGAUCUGCCUCGCACUCKGGGAUAAGCCUGGGAAACUGGGUCUAAUACCGGAUAUGACCUUACAUCGCAUGGUGUUUGGUGGAAAGAUUUAUCGGUGCGAGAUGGGCCCGCGGCCUAUCAGCUUGUUGGUGGGGUAAUGGCCUACCAAGGCGACGACGGGUAGCCGGCCUGAGAGGGCGACCGGCCACACUGGGACUGAGACACGGCCCAGACUCCUACGGGAGGCAGCAGUGGGGAAUAUUGCACAAUGGGCGAAAGCCUGAUGCAGCGACGCCGCGUGAGGGAUGACGGCCUUCGGGUUGUAAACCUCUUUCGACAGGGACGAAGCGCAAGUGACGGUACCUGUAGAAGAAGCACCGGCCAACUACGUGCCAGCAGCCGCGGUAAUACGUAGGGUGCGAGCGUUGUCCGGAAUUACUGGGCGUAAAGAGCUUGUAGGCGGCUUGUCGCGUCGAUCGUGAAAACUUGGGGCUCAACCCCAAGCUUGCGGUCGAUACGGGCAGGCUUGAGUACUUCAGGGGAGACUGGAAUUC